rnacentral:rRNA from 1 species
CUACUCUUGACAUCCUGCGAACUUGGUAGAGAUACCUUGGUGCCUUCGGGAACGCAGAGACAGGUGCUGCAUGGCUGUCGUCAGCUCGUGUUGUGAAAUGUUGGGUUAAGUCCCGUAACGAGCGCAACCCUUGUCCUUAGUUGCCAUCAUUUAGUUGGGGACUCUAAGGAGACUGCCGGUGACAAACCGGAGGAAGGCGGGGACGACGUCAAGUCAUCAUGGCCCUUACGAGUAGGGCUACACACGUGCUACAAUGGCAAGUACAGAGGGCCGCGAAGCCGCGAGGUGGAGCUAAUCUCACAAAGCUUGUCGUAGUCCGGAUUGGAGUCUGCAACUCGACUCCAUGAAGUCGGAAUCGCUAGUAAUCGCAAAUCAGAAUGUUGCGGUGAAUACGUUCCC